rnacentral:lncRNA from 1 species
AUUGCAUGUAAUUAAUCUCUUUUGAAGAUUGAUUUUGAGAUCUUAAGUUUCUUUAAAUGCCAACAAUAAAACUUCAAUUGCUGUGGUAUAAUUCCUUUUCACCACACAAAAUAAUAGGGAGUCAUGGUCAAAAUGUAGACUCUUCACACUAUUAAAGCAAGGUAUGUCUCCUAUGCCCUCAAUGAGUCCCACUGUACUUGCUUAAUUAAACAGUUUGAAGAGAACAUCAGUAACUAAUUUUUUUUCAAAGAAAAAAACUGCAAAAAAAGAUUACAUUAUCUUAAUCCUCUUUUGUAUCUGAUCCAUCUACUAGGAUUGUCAUUUACUAAUAAUAUCACCAAAG